rnacentral:miRNA from 12 species
CUACCCAGAAAGGUGCUGAUA